GUGCCCUUCGGGAACCCGGUGACAGGUGCUGCAUGGCUGUCGUCAGCUCGUGUCGUGAGAUGUUGGGUUAAGUCCCGCAACGAGCGCAACCCUUGUCUUUAAUUGCCAUCAUUUAGUUGGGCACUUUAAAGAGACUGCCGGUGUUAAGCCGGAGGAAGGUGGGGAUGACGUCAAGUCCUCAUGGCCCUUACAUCCCGGGCUACACACGUGCUACAAUGGCAGGUACAGAGGGCUGCGAAGCCGCGAGGUGGAGCGAAUCCCAGAAAACCUGUCUCAGUCCGGAUUGAAGUCUGCAACUCGACUUCAUGAAGGCGGAAUCGCUAGUAACCGCGAAUCAGCAGGUCGCGGUGAAUACGUUCCCGGGCCUU
rnacentral:rRNA from 1 species